GACGAACGCUGGCGGCGUGCUUAACACAUGCAAGUCGAACGAUGAUCCGGUGCUUGCACCGGGGAUUAGUGGCGAACGGGUGAGUAACACGUGAGUAACCUGCCCUGGACUCUGGGAUAACCCCGAGAAAUCGGAGCUAAUACCGGAUAGGACCUCGAAUCGCAUGGUUUGGGGUGGAAAGUUUUUCGGUCUGGGAUGGACUCGCGGCCUAUCAGCUUGUUGGUGAGGUAAUGGCUCACCAAGGCGUCGACGGGUAGCCGGCCUGAGAGGGUGACCGGCCACACUGGGACUGAGACACGGCCCAGACUCCUACGGGAGGCAGCAGUGGGGAAUAUUGCACAAUGGGCGCAAGCCUGAUGCAGCAACGCCGCGUGAGGGAUGACGGCCUUCGGGUUGUAAACCUCUUUUAGUAGGGAAGAAGGGCUUCGGCUUGACGGUACCUGCAGAAAAAGGACCGGCUAACUACGUGC
rnacentral:rRNA from 2 species